rnacentral:lncRNA from 1 species
GUUAUUGCAUCAGAUAAAUCUUAGAUCAAAGAUGUCAAGGUCCACAAGCCCAUUUCUUACAAUAAACUCCCUGAAUUUUCUAGUCUCAAUAUCAUUUAAAAAAGGUCUACCAUUUCUCUUCUUCUAUGGCCUAUCAAUACAAUUGCAGUCACCUGGAACCAGAGAUGGAAGGUCUAGAACAACCAAUCAAAACACCUCCUCCUACUACAUCCUUUGCUCUCUAUACUCAAUGCUAGC